rnacentral:tRNA from 1 species
GGGCCUAUAGCUCAGCUGGUUAGAGCGCACCCCUGAUAAGCGUGAGGUCGAUGGUUCGAGUCCAUUUAGGCCCA